rnacentral:rRNA from 1 species
CGGACGGGUGAGUAAUGUCUGGGAAACUGCCUGAUGGAGGGGGAUAACUACUGGAAACGGUAGCUAAUACCGCAUAACGUCGCAAGACCAAAGAGGGGGACCUUCGGGCCUCUUGCCAUCGGAUGUGCCCAGAUGGGGUUAGCUAGUAGGUGGGGUAACGGCUCACCUAGGCGACGAUCCCUAGCUGGUCUGAGAGGAUGACCAGCCACACUGGAACUGAGACACGGUCCAG